GUCCCUUUAUUUCUCAAACUGGCCGACACGUAGGGAAAAUAGAAAAGAACCUAUGUGACUAUCGGGACAGGUUCCCCGAUAAAGAGGAUUGUGACAUCUCACUGGACCCACACCCACCCAGGCAAUGUGGUUUUUCUACCUUCUCCCUGCCCACAGGUGAUAUUGUGCCAUAUACCUGAGACCAGUCCUCUUAUACCUGAAGCCAGGACAUGUGCAGAAUGGUGACUCUCAUCUCUGGACCUUUCCACAGGUGUUUUUGUGACAUAUACCUUUGCCCAGCUCCUGAGUGAUUUAAUAACCCUUCCUAGGUCUAGCUCACACAUGAGAUUUUGAUAUAUACCAGGGCCACACUCCGUAAUGAUUUGACUCUCCUGUCUUAACAGUGUCCUCAGGGGGGGGAUUAUAGCAUACCUUUAUACCCAGCAUCUAGGUUACAUGAUUCUCCUCUCCUGCCUGAACCCUGCUUCCUGUGGAGAUUGUAGCAUUUUCAAGCACUGCUUUCAAAUGAUAUGACUCUUGCCUGAACCCUGUCCACACAAAGCAUUGUGACAUACCUCUGGGCCCAUCAUUUAGGUGAUAUGAAUCCCCUCCCUUGCCUAGACACUGCCCACAAGAGGCAUUGUGCCACAGAGCUGGGCCUAGCACUCAAGUUAUGUGAAUUUUCUGCCAGGGCCUUGCCUACAAGGGUAAUAGUGGAAUUUUUCUGGCCCAGCAUUUAGGUGAUGUGGCUGUUCUGUCUGUCUCAAAACCACAGAGGGGAUUGUGACAUGUACCUAGGCACAGCUCACAGGCAUGAUAACGACUCUCAUAUGUGAACCCAGCCAAGUAGGGAAAUUUUGACGCUUGUAACUAGGUUUAGGGACAGGAGUGAUGUCCUGGAUCUUUUUCUGCUAAAAAGUUCACAGAAGCCUACAACACCCACACAUAUUUUACAAACCUUUUGGAUUAUACAGACAGUGUCAUAACAAAGCCCAACACACAGGUGAAAUUUUGAGUCUCAUAUGCACACCCAGCUGACAGUAAAGACUGUCACUGUCUCACAUGAAUGAAGCCAACUGUCAUACAUAAAAACAGGACAUGUAUGGUAUAGUAAAUCUCAUUCCUGAAAUUUUCUGCCAGUGUGAUUGUCAUAUAAGUUUUUGCCAAGUGCUUGUGUAAUUUGACUCUCCAGACUAGUUCCAGCCCACAUAUGGGAUUGUGAUAUUAUUUACCUGGGCCAACCUCUACGUGAUGUAACUUUUUUUGCUGGCCCCUUCUCUCAGUAAAGAUUGUGACAUAUCACUGCAUCUAGCACCCAGGUGAUGUUACAUUUUUGCCUGCACCAUCGUGACAGAAAUCAUUGUGACAUAUCACUGUGUCCACCACUUAGGUGAUGUAACUCUCCUCUCUUGAAUAAGCCCUGCACACAGGGAGAAUAAUGACAUAUGUGUAGUCCAGGCAGAGAGAUGAUGGUACUCUUUUGCCUGGGCCAUUCCCCAAGGAGGGUAUUGUGACAUAUCUCUGAGCAUAUUACCUAGGUGAUGUGACACCCUGCUUGGGCCCUGUCCACAUGGAGCAUUGUGACAUAAGGGUGGAACCUGCACUUAGGUGAUGUAACUCUCUUGCCUGGGUCUUGUCCUAAGGUAGCUUGUGACAUAUCGAAGACCCAGCACCCAGGUGAUGUGGCUCUUCUGCCUGGUUUCUGCCCACAUGUUACAUUGUGAUAUACACCUCGAGAAGCACCUAGGAAUUAAAAUUGACCUGCAAGACGUCUUUACUUCAUGGAGAUCUGUAGAAGCUGAAGUCCAAAAUGUGACGAUGAAGCUCGGCAAUUACAAAAUCUAUAGAUAAAGAAAGACUGCCAAGGAAGAGGCCCAGAACCCAAAUGAUGUUACUCUUCUGCCUAAGUCCUGAAUUAAGAUGGAAUUAUGGCAUAUUGCUGGGCCCAGCACCCUGAUGAUGUGACUCUCCUGCCUGUUCCAGAGCCACAGAAGAUGCUUCCUGCCCUCAAACAUCGGAUU
rnacentral:lncRNA from 1 species